rnacentral:sRNA from 1 species
CUUUCCCAGACCGAGAACCGCGCCGGCACCAUGUCAGCUUACCCUAAAAGCUACAAUCCGUUCGACGACGACGGGGAGGACGAAGGCGCCCGGCCGGCCCCUUGGAGGGACGCCCGAGACCUCCCCGACGGGCCCGACGCGCCCGCGGACAGGCAGCAGUACUUGCGGCAGGAAGUCCUCCGCAGGGCUGAGGCCACGGCCGCCAGCACCAGCAGGUCCCUGGCCCUCAUGUACGAGUCCGAGAAGGUUGGGGUCGCCUCUUCCGAGGAGCUCGCCCGUCAGCGAGGAGUCCUGGAGCGCACAGAGAAGAUGGUGGACAAGAUGGACCAAGAUUUGAAGAUCAGCCAGAAACACAUCAAUAGCAUUAAGAGCGUGUUUGGGGGGCUGGUCAAUUACUUCAAAUCCAAACCAGUAGAGACCCCACCUGAACAGAAUGGCACCCUCACCUCCCAGCCCAACAGCAGGUGAGUGCAUCUUCUACCAUCUGGGUAUAAAGGAGCAGAAGUGGGGAUUAGUGCAAAUGACUAAGACUUUCAGUCCACGUCAGUGCCAUGAAGGGAUCCAACAACCCUUUAAGUUACUCAUCAGGGGAUAUUUGUCCUCAAACAUUGUGAAACCAGGAACUGUUCUUCCCUGAUCCCAUGUUCACUUGAUUGACAUCUAGUCUGUCAAUUGCUUCUCCAAUAAUUGUGACCCCACUACUUUGAAAGAGAGGGUGUUCACCUCAGCGUAAUCUGUACAAAUGUGACUCACUUCACAUAAUUUUUGCUUUAAAAAAUCUUUAGGGCUGGGUGCAGUGGCUCACACCUGUAAUCCCGACACUUCAGGAUGCCAAGGUGGGUAGAUUGCUUAAGCCCAGGAGUUCGAGACCAGCCUGGGCAACAUAGUGGGAACCCAGGCUUUACAAAAAUUACCCAGGCAUUGUGGUGCACACCUGUAGUCCCAGCUCCUCAGGAGGCUGAGGUAAGAGGA